rnacentral:rRNA from 1 species
UGGCUCAGAACGAACGCUGGCGGCAGGCCUAACACAUGCAAGUCGAGCGCGCCUUCGGGGUGAGCGGCGGACGGUUAGUAACGCGUGGGAACGUACCCUUUGGUAGGGAAUAGCCACUGGAAACGGUGAGUAAUACCCUAUGAGCCCUUCGGGGGAAAGAUUUAUCGCCAAAGGAUCGGCCCGCGUUAGAUUAGGUAGUUGGUGGGGUAAUGGCCUACCAAGCCUACGAUCUAUAGCUGGUUUUAGAAGAUGAUCAGCAACACUGGGACUGAGACACGGCCCAGACUCCUACGGGGAGGCAGCAGUGGGGAAUCUUGGACAAUGGGGGCAACCCUGAUUCCCAGCCAUGCCGCGUGAGUGAAGAAGGCCUUAGGGUCGUAAAGCUCUUUCGCCUGUGAAGAUAAUGACGGUAGCAGGUAAAGAAACCCCGGCUAACUCCGUGCCAGCCGCUGC